rnacentral:misc_RNA from 1 species
GUGUGUGUGUGUGUGUGUGUAUCAUAGAAGCCUGAACCUAAAUUUUCUAGUUACAAGUAUUGCCGAUUUAAAAGUUACCUUAGCACUAGAGUGAAGGUAGUUUACUCUGGAACAUUAUGAAAACCCUCCCACUCCUGCUUUGGGUGUUAUCCUGAGGAGCAAGGAGUCGCAAAGAUGAAAAAUAUAUGUCAAGUAACUUCUCUAAUGAAUAAAUGAUCUGCAGAUCACAACUGCAGUUUCUCUAAGUUGUAACCAUGGUCAUUAGUCACUGACUCGUGAGCUAAUCUUUUGAACCAAAGCCAUAUCUCUAUGUGACCUUAGGGAACAACAUUCUAAAAUUCCA